rnacentral:rRNA from 1 species
UACGAAGGGGGCUAGCGUUGCUCGGAAUGACUGGGCGUAAAGGGCGCGUAGGCGGCUUACAUAGUUAGGCGUGAAAUUCCUGGGCUCAACCUGGGGACUGCGUCUAAUACAUGUAGGCUUGAGUGUGAAAGAGGGUUGUGGAAUUCCCAGUGUAGAGGUGAAAUUCGUAGAUAUUGGAAAGAACACCGGUGGCGAAGGCGGCGACCUGGUUCAUUACUGACGCUGCGGCGCGAAAGCGUGGGGAGCAAACAGG